GGCAGCAUGAUGUAGUGGUUUGAGCAUUGGAUUAUGACUCUAGAGAACAGGGUUCGAACCCCUGUUCAACCA
rnacentral:tRNA from 1 species